CUACGGGCGGCUGCAGUGGGGAAUAUUGCACAAUGGAGGAAACUCUGAUGCAGCAACGCCGCGUGGAGGAUGACACUUUUCGAAGCGUAAACUCCUUUUAUAUAGGAAGAAGAUGACGGUACUAUAUGAAUAAGCGCCGGCUAACUCCGUGCCAGCAGCCGCGGUAAUACGGAGGGCGGAAGCGUUACUCGGAAUCACUGGGCGUAAAGAGCGUGUAGGCGGAUUAAAAAGUCAGAAGUGAAAUCCUAUAGCUUAACUAUAGAACUGCUUCUGAAACUCUUAAUCUAGAAUAUGGGAGAGGUAGAUGGAAUUUCUGGUGUAGGGGUAAAAUCCGUAGAGAUCAGAAGGAAUACCGAUUGCGAAGGCGAUCUACUAGAACAUUAUUGACGCUGAGACGCGAAAGCGUGGGGAGCAAACAGGAUUAGAUACCCGAGUAGUC
rnacentral:rRNA from 1 species